rnacentral:lncRNA from 1 species
AUCAUUCUAUCACGUCCUUAAUGAUCAUAAUCUUAAGCUCUGAUAUUGUCCAUUAUACUCCACUCGGUCACAUCCUAUUGAUCAUACAUAAAGUUUUGAUAUCACUUUAUAAUCUCAAUGAUCUUAAACCUAAGCUCUGAUAUUAUUCUAUCAUAUCCUAAUCAUUUAUAUCAUUUAUAUCAUAAUCCCCAAAGAUUAUAACCUAAGCUCUGAUACCAU